UACGUAGGGGGCUAGCGUUGUCCGGAAUCAUUGGGCGUAAAGCGCGCGUAGGCGGCCCGGUAAGUCCGCUGUAAAAGUCAAAGGCUCAACCUUUGAAUGUCAGUGGAUACUGCCGGGCUAGAGUCCGGAAGAGGCGAGUGGAACUCCUGGUGUAGCGGUGGAAUGCGCAGAUAUCAGGAAGAACACCGACGGCGAAGGCAGCUCGCUGGGACGGUACUGACGCUGAGGAGCGAAAGCGUGGGGAGCGAACAGG
rnacentral:rRNA from 1 species